rnacentral:rRNA from 1 species
UACGUAGGGGGCAAGCGUUGUCCGGAAUCAUUGGGCGUAAAGCGCGUGUAGGCGGCUAGAUAAGUCUGCUCUGAAAGCCCGGGGCUCAACCCCGGGAGGCGGGUGGAUACUGUCUAGCUCGAGUCCGGAAGAGGAGUGUGGAAUUCCUGGUGUAGCGGUGAAAUGCGCAGAUAUCAGGAGGAACACCAAUGGCGAAGGCAGCACUCUGGGACGUGACUGACGCUGAGACGCGAAAGCGUGGGGGAGCAAACAGG